rnacentral:lncRNA from 1 species
UGUUUUUUGUGUUUGAGCUAAGCAAAACCUUUAUGAUUAGUUUGGUGAUGGUUGUUUGAUCCUGCUGGAAAAAGACAGAAACUUUUAGCUCACGGAAUUAUUUUUCAUUUUUGUUCAGAAAGAGAUUUUGAGUUGAUUCUUUUUGCUGCUGGUUUAUAUGCCUUUUUCUCAGGCAGUAGUAAUUUUUCAGAAUUUUUGAGAUACCAGAACUAUAUGAAGUAUACAGAUUGCUAUAGACUGGUCUGUUUUUGACAGAUUGUGUUUUUAUUGUGUUGGUUGCUUGUUUUGAUGAAACUAUGGAUAGUAUCGGGG